UACGAAGGGGGCUAGCGUUGCUCGGAAUCACUGGGCGUAAAGGGUGCGUAGGCGGGUCUUUAAGUCAGGGGUGAAAUCCUGGAGCUCAACUCCAGAACUGCCUUUGAUACUGAGGAUCUUGAGUUCGGGAGAGGUGAGUGGAACUGCGAGUGUAGAGGUGAAAUUCGUAGAUAUUAGGAAGAACACCAGUGGCGAAGGCGGCCCACUGGAUCGGUACUGACGCUGAGGCGCGAAAGCGUGGGGAG
rnacentral:rRNA from 1 species